GUCUACGGCCAUACCACCCUGAACGCGCCUGAUCUCAUCUGAUCUCGGGAGCUAAGCAGGGUCGGGCCUGGUUAGUACUUGGAUGGGAGAAGUGGAGGAGAGGUACAGAGCACAGAGAUU
rnacentral:rRNA from 1 species